AAAAAAGAUGGAACUUUAGAAGAUUUCGAACAGUUGUUAGAUGAAUUGAAGAUGUUCCCCCAGGCGGAAGCGAUUAACCACCCACCGCUUUCUCCGGACCAGUCUGCGGGGGAAGGUCAGUUUUCGAACGUUUUCAAUCGUAAAGUCCUCUUCAUUUUAGUUGCCACCUGUUUGCCACACCUGUCGCAUGGACUAGCCUCAUCCUCGUGUUGAGCGUGCUUUUCAUCACAUGUGCUUAACAUUACGUCACGUGUGCUAAAAACAGGCCGCUAUGCAUUUUUUGUGAUUGAUUGUUUAGCGUGGACUAUGAAGGAUAAACAUUAUGUCUCAGAGAUAGUACUGCUUGUCCACGUAACAGCUUCAAAAGAUGUAACAAUCACACGAAAUCGCGAAUAGAGCAGAUGGUUUUUUAUUCCAACGGACAGCCUGCUGUAUCCAGAGUGCUGUCGCUAUUUCUUUUCACCCCUGUUUAUUCCACAAUAACAUCGCGGAGAAGAAAUACCCAAUUCUAUGGAAUAAUAUCGCGAAUUAAUGGAAUAAAGAGAUUGUGAUUCAAUACAGCAUUCAUUGAAUGAUAAUCGCCAAUUGGAAUGCUUCAGAGAAGUGUGUGUUAGUGGAUUAUUGACUUUGAUAGUUAAAUCUGCAAAAUUGAAACAAAUAUUGAAGUUUGCAAAAGCAAUAAAAGUUUGUGGAAUUGGAAUGCUCCAAUGAUGUGUGUGUUAGUGUAUUAUAGACUUAAAAUACUUAAAUCUGCAAAAUAGAAACAAAUAUUGAAGUUUGCAAAAGUAAGAAAAUUUUGCGAAAGUAAUAUUUGAUAGAAAUUAAAAUUUGCAAACGUUAAAUUUGUUUUAAGAAGCAAAUUGGAAAAUUCAGACUCAUUUAAAAAGGUGCCUUAUUUUACUUACUUGUAUUUCAAGUCAGAGUACCAAACAUUAACCAGCAUAUGAAGAUAUAAAUUAUAAAAGUUAUUGGGAUUAAAUUAUUAAUUUAUUUAAUUUAUAUAAUGCAUGCAUAUUUACAAACUUGAAUAAAAUCACGUAGUUCACAGUUUGAUAGUCUAGAAUAAAAUUAGUUUGCUACAAUAAAAAUUCUUUCGAAAGUGAGCUCAAGAAAAAAAGCCUGUAAAUCUAAGCAAGUUAAAAAUUUUACUUAUUUAAGUUCAAGUUUAAAGUUACACAAUUUACAAAUUAUUUAUAGAACAUCGUAAAUAUCCUGUUUCAUAAAACAACCGCAGUAGAAAAAAUUCCACUUUUCUCAUACAUAUGUGAUUUUAGUUACACCACUCAUAAAAAAUAAAAAAAUCACGAAAGAAAAAAAA